GGUAGGGUUUUGCCUUCUUCUGACCUUACAAAGGGCCAGCCCAAAGCAGUAAACCCAGCUGGCUGAUGUGCAGCGCAUGUGCAUGGCUGAGCUGUUCUGAGCACUGAUAUAGCUGCUCCUCUCCUUGUAAAUUAAAGAAGACGUGGAAAUUACAUGAAAUGGAGUAGUGAUACACGAGGUAAUUCCAUAACUCUCCGGUCAACUUCUCAAGAUUUCCUGUUUGACAGCUGGGAGAAGGGAAGCUCCCCAUCCCCGGUGGGGUCUUUGCUCCAUCUCAGCGACCGCCCCAAUCCCGACGGAUGGUGGGGAGAGCAUCCACACUCCCCGCCAUCCAUUGGGAAUAGGGUGGUCGCUGAGGCGGUGGAGAUGGCAAAGGGACCAGUCGGAGCUGAUGGAUGGUUGGACCUGGCAGAUUCAUAAUCCAGAACCCGAUGCAGCUGCGAGGAAACUAAUGGCUAGCAGGGACCGCGUCGGUCCCCGAGCUAAUACCUGUCUCCUCCAUCACAAAUUGAUGGCAUUAAACAAAAAAGUUGACUCCUUUUCA